UCUCCACCUUGUUUUUCUUUUUCUCUUGGUCGUACCAACUCCAGCCCAGCUAAUCAGCAGCCCAGGUUCUCAUCUUUCACGUGUCUUCUCCUUGCACAGAGAGAGCACGAGACUAGCGUGUAUCUCCACGAAGUCAUUGAGCCAACCACUCCAUUUUUCCUCUCAAUAAUUCUCCACCAGCGCCAGAUCCAACCCUAGCCGCUCCCCUUCCUUCCUCCUCAGCGCCGCCACCCUCUCUUCCUUUCCUUUCAGCCAAACCAGAUAGCGUGAGAAGAAGUUCCAGAAAGUUCGGACAAAUCUUCAGUUAAACACCGAACAUGGCCGGAAGAAAAUCGACGAGCGUCGUCGUUCCUCGCCGCAGGCUGUCGCGAUGAUCGCGGGGAUGGAGCUCUCGUGGCCUCCUCUUCCUCCUCGUUGAGUUCACGGAGGCGGCGCUGCUCUGCUGUGUCGCAGGCAUCCUCGACAUCUUCUCCAACAACAUCCGUCACCGAGCACGUCUUCGUUGUUUUCGUCGCCGUUGGGUCGUCCCCGUCCUCAGCGAGCCCCUCCUCAUCUUCCUGUUAAAACUUCAGAAGCUGUAGCUUCGGCGCGUCAAAACGGACGGAACCUGCUUCCCUCUCUCCGCGUUCUGCAUCCUCUGGCCUGCGCCUCCAUGCUCGCCCGUUCCCUGUCAGUUCGCUCACCUCUCCAACACGCUCCGCCUCGAGCCGGUACUGCCUGCAUCAGCAUGUUUAUAAGCGCGUCCUCGUCACCGUGUGUGUUUCUUCGUCAGUUAGCCAAGCCUCAGUUUUCAGGUUACGUGAUCAAUGGUCAACAGCAGCUGCAGUCCAAUUCCACGCGCGCCUGGCCGCCUUGUACCUCUCGCGUUCCAUGCUCAGCAGCAGCAGCUACCAUCGACAGCUUCCUACUCCCUAGCACCUGGCCGUCCUAUCGUUUACUUUGCAGGUUUUCCGGCCGCUUCGGUCGCCGUAUGCAUGGGCCGUUCCUUGUCGCUGCUGCUCUGUUUGUCGAGGCGCCCUUUACCUGUUCGACGAAACUCCUGCAAGGGUCUCUGCUUGUAUUCCCGGCGUUUCCAAUCUGUUGAUGUACAGCCUCUCCCAUCACCCAGCAACCACACAACAGUAACAGCAGUUUACUGCUCGCGCAGUAGCGCUACCUCUUGGUCCUGCCUUUUCCAGCAACCCACCUGGUUCAUCUACUCGUAUUCAUACAAUCAACUGAACAUUCGUAUGUCUUUCCUAUACAAUCAAGCCAUGCAGCAGCUUAUCUUUGUUUGACAAUCAAGUCCUUUAAAUCUAGUCAAGCUAUUAAUUGCUUGGCCAUUUUUACAUCAGUGUAUCCCGGCGUUACGACAUCCUGGCGUCAGCUUCAGAUGCUUCGCUACUUCUUAUACUUCAUCGGCUGUCUUCUCCGAUC